rnacentral:rRNA from 1 species
GACGAACGCUGGCGGCGUGGAUUAGGCAUGCAAGUCGAACGGUAUCAUCCUUUCGGGGGUGAGAGAGUGGCGAACUGGUGAGUAACACGUAGGUUAUCUACCCUCAAGACGGGGACAACCCAGGGAAACUUGGGCUAAUACCGGAUGUGAGCAACUUUUAGUUGUUUGAAAGGUGGCGUAAGCUGUCGCUUGGGGAUGAGCCUGCGUCCUAUUAGUUAGUUGGUGAGGUAACAGCUCACCUAGGCAAUGAUAGGUAGGCGGCCUUAACGGGUGGUCGCCCACACUGGGAUUGAGAUACGGCCCAGACUCCUACGGGAGGCAGCAGUCGAGAAUAGUCUACAAUGGUCGGAAGACUGAUAGUGCGACGCCGCGUGAACGAUGAAUCCCUUCGGGGUGUAAAGUUCUUUUAUAUGUGAGCAGUGCUUCUUAUAUUAACAGUAUGGGGAGAGAGAUAUUAGCAUAUGAAUAAGCAACGGCUAACUCCGUG